UUCAAAUAGCAUGACUCUUAAAUCCCGAAUGAUGGGCUAGAUUACAGAUUUCUCGAUCGGGCCUAACUACGUUUUAUAAACAUCCGCAUUCCUUCUUUCAUUCUUUCGCUAAAAACAAAACAACUCCUCCAAAAUUAAAGAGGGGAGGGACGAUCAAUGCAAGAAAAAAAGCAAGUGUUAAAAUAAUUCUGUCCAAAUCUUCUACGUUUAGAGGUCAGGGAUGAUAUGGGAAGAGUGAGGGUAACCCUAGACCUUGGAGAUUAUUAGAGUUUAUGCUUUAUUUCUUUAUUAGCAUGUUCAGACUUUUAUUUUUGUGUAAGGAAUCCACGUUUGAGUAUGAGAACUUUCCGUUGUACUCUAGAACGUAUCUUUAUUUAUCAUAAUUGGAGACUUUUUAGUGAA